rnacentral:rRNA from 1 species
CCUACGGGCGGCAGCAGUGAGGAAUAUUGGUCAAUGGUCGCGAGACUGAACCAGCCAAGUAGCGUGCAGGAUGACGGCCCUAUGGGUUGUAAACUUCUUUUAUGAGGGAAUAAAGUGAGUCACGUGUGCCUUUUUGUAUGUACUUUAUGAAUAAGGAUCGGCUAACUCCGUGCCAGCAGCCGCGGUAAUACGGAGGAUCCGAGCGUUAUCCGGAUUUAUUGGGUUUAAAGGGAGCGUAGGUGGUUUGUUAAGUCAGUUGUGAAAGUCCGGGGCUCAACCAUGACACUGCAGUUGAUACUGGCAGCCUUGAGUUCGGGGGAGGUAGGCGGAAUUCGUGGUGUAGCGGUGAAAUGCUUAGAUAUCACGAAGAACUCCGAUUGCGAAGGCAGCAUACGAAAUCGCCACUGACGUUGAAGCUCGAAAGCGUGGGUAUCGAACAGGAUUAGAUACCCGGGUAGUC